rnacentral:rRNA from 1 species
UACGUAGGCAGCGAGCGUUGUUCGGAUUUACUGGGCGUAAAGGGUGCGUAGGCGGUUGUUUAAGUUUGGUGUGAAAUCUCCCGGCUCAACUGGGAGGGUGCGCCGAAUACUGAAUGACUAGAGUGCAGUAGAGGCAAGCGGAAUUCCAGGUGUAGCGGUGAAAUGCGUAGAUAUCUGGAAGAACACCGGUGGCGCAAGCGGCUUGCUGGGCUGUAACUGACACUGAGGAACGAAAGCUAGGGUAGCGAAUGGG